rnacentral:lncRNA from 1 species
UUGCCUCCGUCUGUCGCAUCUGCUUGCAAAAAAAUAACAACAAAGAAAUAACAUCCCCCUUUUUAUCGACUUUGAACUUCUGUAUUUUUUUCUCUGAGCUUACCUCUCUCGAGAUCUGAACUGAUUAGUAUUACAAGUACACGAACAACUGGAUGAGCUGAUGUAAGUACAUAUAAAAAAGAUGACCAAGUUCAUCUAUAUUAACCGGAGAAGUUCAAAAAGGAACUUCAUCUUCACCAUACAGACUACACCAAUACUGAAAACUGAAGAAUAACUGAAGUACAAGAGAGAGACAAGCCUAAGUUCAAACUACAACAAACAUAAGCUGCAAGCUCCAUGUUCCAGCCUGUAGAUGAUUCAUUUUAAUGUCAGGUUCCUCAGUCCAACAUUAAAGUAACACGCAGGACCAAUCAGAACACAAAUCAUAAUACCAAUCCCUGUUGUCUUUUGUUGACUAAAGUACAGAUGUGCAUGCAUACCUUGACAGUAGUCGGAGACGAGCACGACAAGGUCCCGACCGCCACCCCGCUUCCGCCGCUGACGGCCAGCAAUGACGCCGCGGCGAGGAGGGCGUCCUAGUCCCUUAGCUCACUUGUUGAUCAACAUCUGCCCACAGUCCAAUUGUUGAAUGAAGCCAUGAAUGCGUCCCUGAGAAUAAAACAGACAAGAUGAGAGGACGGUAACACACGAGAUUGAGUUCGGUUCAGGUGUUUGUAAGAAGAGUAGCCUGAUACGAAGACUGGCUUCCCAUUUGAGCAUGUAAAAAACCUGAAUCUAGGAGGCGGGUAG